rnacentral:lncRNA from 14 species
CUCUGCUUUUGAAAAGGCCGCCAGAAAGGUCUUGUCAGCAGUUUAAUGGGGAGAUAAAAGAAGAAGGAGGAUUGUUAGCAGAGGGAUAGUGCCUGACAUCUGGACAGGGCUAACAUGUGAUAAAACAGGAGGCUUGUAGGCAAAUCUGCUGUGCUUGAUCUCUUCCCAAGGCAAGGUUUGGACCCAAUGGCUUUAAAGCAUGCCCAUGUGGAUGGAGCCUGAGUUGCCCAAAUCCCUGGUGAUGCCUGCAGAUCAGCUUUCCAGUAGAGUGGGGAAAGAGGUCUCAGGGAAAAUGUCCCUUCCUCAAGGCAUAUCCCUCAAUCUGAAGCUCAAAGACAGCACUCAAACCCAAGAAUGCCUUGACUUAAAGCUCUAA